rnacentral:tRNA from 1 species
GCCGAGGUAGCUCAGUGGUAGAGCACACGACUGAAAAUCGUGGUGUCGCCGGUUCGACCCCGGCCCUCGGCA